ACACAAAUCAAUUUUCAGUUUCUAAAUACAAUAUUUGACUCUUCGUCUUACUUAAAAGAAUUUUAUGAUUAAUAGUUUUGUUUUUAUUAGAUAAUAAAACAUAAAUAGUAAUUUAGGUGUGACUAAUUUUUUAAAAAAAAUUUGAAUUUUUUUCAAAUAAGACGGAUGGUCAAACACUCGACACGGAAAACGAG
rfam:Oryza brachyantha chromosome 5, whole genome shotgun sequence.